GACGAACGCUGGCGGCAUGCCUAAUACAUGCAAGUCGAGCGAACAGAUGAAGUGCUUGCACUUCUGACGUUAGCGGCGAACGGGUGAGUAACACGUAAGGAAUCUACCUAUAAGCGGGGGAUAACAUUCGGAAACGGGUGCUAAUACCGCAUAAUAUCUUCUUCCGCAUGGAAGAAGAUUGAAAGACGGCUCUGCUGUCACUUAUAGAUGACCUUGCGGUGCAUUAGUUAGUUGGUGGGGUAAUGGCCUACCAAGACGAUGAUGCAUAGCCGACCGGACAGGGAGAUCGGCAACGUGGGCACUGAGGACCGGCCCAAACUCCUACGGGAGGCAGCAGUAGGGAAUCUUCCGCAAUGGGCGAAAGCCUGACGGAGCAAUGCCGCGUGAGUGAAGAAGGCCUUCGGGUCGUAGAACUCUGUUAUAAGAGAAGAACAAAUUGUAGAGUAACCGCUACAGUCUUGACGGUAUCUUAUCAGAAAGCCACGGCUAACUACGUGCCAGCCGCCGCCGUAA
rnacentral:rRNA from 1 species